UAGGUAAUAAAGUUUAAUACCUACAUAUGAAAAUACCAGUUCAAUUCAGUGAAUAUGUUAAUUUUUUUCUGAUCAAUCAUCUAACCCCCAGCCCAUAUAGCCACAUCAUGUAUGUUGUGGUCUGCCAGCAGCCUGUGGAGCUGGCAGAGGAGUCAAAUAGUGAGGAGGCUGGGGAGGAACAUGGGCCAGUCCUGGAGUCUGGGGAAGACCCGGAUGGGCUCUGUGUCAGAGGCAGAGAUGGGGCCAGGGCCAUCUGGGAGUGAUGCGCAGACUCCGGAGCCUCCAGAGUUGGACAGCAGAGAGGCAGAGGAACAGGAGGAGCCUGUUCUCAGUGCGCGCAUGCACAGAGCUGCCAGAAGGCAUGAACAGUUAAAUCAAAAGGGACAACUCGGGAGUAAGGCCUGGAGAUGAUUGGCCCCACCCAUAAGGCUUAAAAGAGGAGCAAAGGCACAGUUAAAUUAACAGAAUUGUUAAUUCUGUUCCCAGUCGGCAUCUCUGUUUGAUUUUGGAAUCCGUGUGGCUUUGCCAAAUAGGUCUUUGGUAGAGUGUCAAGGGAGAUAAAGGUUGGUGAUUAUCCCGAAGGACUUCUCCCAAAGGAUUUUUUGCAACUAAUUGGGACUCAGCUGUGAAUGAACAUAAUUGCAAUAAAAGAGGUUUUUGGGACUACUUGUGUGUUUUAAUGACUCAGGAAGCCUAGGUCACAACAAUGUAGCUCGAACAUGAAUACUUGUAUAUAGAGAAGGUUUAUUAUCAUCGCUCCUGUACCAAAUAUAUACAGUCAGUUACUGUAUCCAGCAUUGUGCAGAAGAUAUUUAGGGAGAUUGUGAGCUACCAGAUUGGAGGCAUCAUCAUACUUCUAUGGUCCUAGCCAUAGAACAUUUAAACUAAAAUCCAAUAGAUUCUCACAGAAGACAGCAUUUGAUUUGGCUUUGUUUUUCUUUCAGAGUUGUGAACUGCUUCCCACAUGAUUUUCUUCACACACACACUGUGAGGAGCAUUGUCCUCACAGACUACCUUCAACAUACCUCAGGGACAGAGAUGAUCACGGAGCUCAUUUGCUCACAAUUUUGGGAAGGCAGUUUCAGGACAGUGAUUGGUGGAUGAUCUUCUGUCCUCUCUCAUGCUAAAGCGAUUCCUGUGUCUACAUCUUCAAAGCUAUCAACAUUGGAGAGAGUACUUCACAACUAUCAUUUAACUGCUGCCAUACUGAAAUCCCAACUGAAAGGAGUUGAGAAAAUUUGUGAGGGAGAAGAGUUUGCAUCCCACAGAAAAGAAAGAAAAGUUUUCUCAAAUUGAACACCUAAAGAUGACUUCAGGCUGAGGAGAUGAAGCAGAGGAGAAGGUAAGGCGUUUUUCAGCCACAGCAAACAAGAUGUAAGGCUGAAUGAGCCCAAGAAAGGCAACAUAUUAAAGAAAGAAUGGGAGAGGUCACUUUUGAGGCACUUCCUGGUCAGCUUGUCCAUCUUCCAUACUUUCUGAUUUUGGUGUAUUUUAUCCUGGAGAUUCAUGUUUUGCACGUUUUGUCCAUUUCCUCCUGUGUAUUGUAGCAAGUGGCAACAAAAAUAAUUGGAGUUAGUUAAUAAUAGCCUAGUUGUUAGUAAAAUCAUCAACUUCUGGCUAUUUCUGAGAGAGGGAAAUGGGUAUUUCUUUGACUUCAGAAACAAUGUGUGUAUAUGUUGAUAUUUUUCACAAUUGCAAUUCCCCAAUUAUGACAUCAUUAGACAGCCAGGGCUUCAUUUUAUAUCUCCUAUUUUACAAAAAUACCUCAAGAGAGUGAGGAUCAUUAGCUUUUAAUAUUUAUUCCCUUUCAAAUUGUUUCAUGGGGCUUUAAAAUGUUGCUUACAGAUAUAAAUAAGUGAUUGAUGAUUUGGUAUUUUCAGCUUCUUAAGCACCACACCAAAGUAAUGCUGAUACAAGAAGUGGGGGGAAAAAAACACAUUUUCUUCAUCCCAGCAUAUUUUUUUAAUUGGCAAAGCACAUUAAUUGGCAAUGUGGAACCACAAAUAUUUUGAAUUUUUCAGGAUAACUAAGAAGUCUUUUGGCAGCUUCCUUUAAUACAGCACAAGGAAGGUUUACUCUUGAUGUGAUCAGUUAGUUGUAUCAUCAUCAGUGUAAAAACGACAGUAUACCCGUGAUCCACAAAAUACCCGUGUUGUCUAGAAUGAUGCGUUGUUGUUGUUUUUCUGCAACAGAUGAUCACAUCUCUCUCUCUGUGUCCCUCUCUCUCUCCCUCUCUCCCUCCUUAUCUCUCUCUCUCUUUCAACUGUCGGUCUGGAUUGAAAGCCUGAAGCACCGGCUUCAGCUUGAACAAAACUCAGCAUCUUCUGUGGUUUAUCUUUCCUUUUUUCAGGUCCUCCAGCUUACUGCAACUCUUCCCAAAGUGUUGUCGGAAGGUCAUGAAUUGCUUAUGUCUCUUACACAACUGCAGCAGCAGCAGCAUUUCAAACAGCCAAUUUCGAAAAGGAGAAUGUACUGAAAACAAUGUUCAGUGAUAUUAGUCCUUGGGCUCCACUUACACAAUCAUCUUUGUCUAUAAAUUUAGCCACUCUAGAACAGUUAAUGAUCUACUCCAUAUAGACCAAUUCCAAGGAAAUUUAACUAAGAACGGUAUUGUCCCUACAUGAAUUGAUUCUGUUAAAGUUGCAAUUUCUUCAUUCGCUAUGCAUCAUCUCAGAUUAGAUUUAUCAGACAUGUGGCUGUUGUGUAAUGGUCAGAGUGUAGGAAUAAUUUGAGCAAAUCCAGGUUUGUCUCUUGAUUCAAUCAUGAACCAUAUGGAGUGAUUAUCUAUCCAUCUUUCCUAUUUCACCUGCAGUGACAUCUGCAGGGGAAAGAGGUCAACACAGAGGUGGAAGCAGCAUUCAAAUGCAACCAAAUGCCCUUGUUGAGUGCAACAUCAAAGGGGUACAACUUUGGCCACCUUGCCUUUUUUUGAUUCCCUUGAACUUGUGGAUGCUGAUAUUCACAUAGUUGGUGUCAUGCUGAGCAGGAGAGGAAUAAACAUUGCUGUAUCUCA